rnacentral:lncRNA from 1 species
AGGAGUGUGUUACUCGAGACUAUACAUAACUGUUGGAAACAUACAGGUCUAAUAAAACGUGAUCAAGAAGUUACUGAUGAUGAAAAUACCAUACAAGAACUCAAGGCAACUCCUGAGCAAAACUGUUCAUCACUCACUGUCCAAAUGCCAACUGAAGAAUAUGCAAAUAUUGAUUGUGAAGAACCCAUUUUUGAAGGAAUGACAAUCAAUGACAUAGUUCAGUUUUUCAAACCACCCACAGAAAUGGAGGACAAUGAAUCAGAUGAUGAUGAUAAAAUACAACCACACAUAUUUUAUAAAGCAGCUCAGGACAGCAUAAACAAAUUAAAAUGUUUCUUUGAACAGCAUGAUAAAACUGAUAGAGC